rnacentral:rRNA from 1 species
UACGGGGGGAGCAAGCGUUGUUCGGAUUUACUGGGCGUAAAGGGCGCGUAGGCGGUCAGCACAAGUCAGUUGUGAAAUCUCCGGGCUUAACUCGGAAAGGUCAACUGAUACUGUGCGACUAGAGUGCAGAAGGGGCAACUGGAAUUCUCGGUGUAGCGGUGAAAUGCGUAGAUAUCGAGAGGAACACCUGCGGCGAAGGCGGGUUGCUGGGCUGACUCUGACGCUGAGGCGCGAAAGCCAGGGGAGCGAACGGG